ensembl:lncRNA
GGGACCACAUUUCCUAGGUUGCCCUACGGCGGUACCUGUUGCACUUCCCUACCGCUUUGCCGGAUUGGGAGAAGGAAGGGUGCCGGUGAGGACCCGGUUUUAUUUGCCGGGAAAUGGAAAGGAAGUCUUUUGUAUUCACAACACCUUUAAGUGGAGGGAUGGGUAGUUCGAGGUAGAGAGAGUUCUUGGGAAAUGAACAACCAGGGAAGUAUUGGGCUGAGAAGGUUGGAAGGAGUUGUGGACCAAUGCGGGAAGACGAAGGAAAGAAAGGUUUGGGAUUUCCCUGUGGGCUCAGGGGAUUCCUCCCUGGUCUUUCCAGCCUCUCCGCUCUUCUUACUCGUUCCCUCCUCCCAACCAGGGCGGGGAUGCUGGAGGCAGCCUCUAGCUAGAACUGUCACUCCGGGAAAUGAGUUCAGUUUCUCUUCCGAUUCAUCUUUGCAACUCACUACAUAAAGGUCAAGAGAGCUGAGUCAUUUGGGAACCAGGGAAGGCGUGGGCUGCCAGGAGAAGGAGGGGCAGCCCGGGCCACCACCUGCUCCUGGGAAGAACGCUGAGAAUCCGACUGACUACCAUCAGAGCCAGUCAUGCUCUGUCUCCAGGUGAUGGAAACUGGAAACCAACAGAGUCUUGAAAAAUAUCCCGAAUCUCUUGUGGAUGCAAGCACCCACCUUAGUGGGAUGCAACUGAGCAAUGAACUCUUCCCCAGCAACAUCUAAAACAGGCAGUACUUUCUGCAACUAAGUCAGCUCAAGGAAAAUUGUUUUGGCAGCUGUGUAGAGAAUACAGUGGAAAGAGGAGAAGCUAAGAGUCCAAUUAGUAGGCUGUUGAAAAUCCACUGGAGAAGGAAAUGGCAAACCGCUCCAAUAUCUUUACCAAGAAAACCCCAUGGACAGCAUGCUGUAGCCCACAGGGUCAUGGAAAGUCUGACAAUGGCUGAGCAAUAAGAAGCAGCAGUAAUCUGGGGGAGGGGAUGAUUUUAGAAAGUCCUGGAAAGACUUACAUGAACUGAUGCUGAGUGAAAUGAGAAGACCAGGAAAUCCUUAUAUACCUCAACAACAAUACUAUAUGAUAAUCAGUUCUGAUGGACUUGGCCAUCUUCAGCAAAGAGAUGAACCAAAUCAGUUCCAAUAGAGCAGUAAUGAACUGAACCAGCUACACCCAGUGAAAGAACUCUGGUAGAUGACUAUGAACCACUACAUAGAAUUCCCAAUCCCUCUAUUUUUGUCCGUCCCAAUCCCGCUAUUUUUGUCCGCCUGCAUUUUUUAUUUCCUUCACAGGUUAAUUGUACACUAUUUCAAAGUCCAAUUCUUUUUGUACAGGAAAAUAACUGUUUGGACAUGUAUACUUAUAUUGUAUUUAAUUUAUACUUUAACAUAUUUAACAUGUAUUGGUCAACCUGCCAUCUGGGGGAGGGAGUGGGGGGAAGGAGGGGAAAAAUUGGAACAAAAGGUUUGGCAAUUGUCAAUGCUGUAAAAUUAUCCAUGCAAUAUAACUUGUAAAUAAAAAGCUAUAAUUUUAAAAAAAUUAAAACAAAUCAUAUUGAAAUAAAGUUAUCAAAAUAUUUUUAAAAAUAAAUUCACAAACCUUAGGUUAUUAAGACUUGUUCUACUGUCCAUCAUAAUACCUGGCUUUGGCAAAUGCAUAUUAAGCAUUUAUUGAAAUGAACUGAAAAGAAAUAUUUUUUUUAUUUUUACUAAAUCUUUUUUAUUUUCAAAAAAAAAAAGUGCAGUAUACAGCUGAGAAAAAGGCAUAUUCCUUUCUUUCUUAUUCAGUAAAUAUCAAAGGUCUAUCAUAUCUAACUUCUAAAAUUCUAUUCACUUG